UUAGAGGAAGGAGAAGUCGUAACAAGGUUUCCGUAGGUGAACCUGCGGAAGGAUCAUUGUCGAAUCCUGCGAAGCAGAACGACCCGCGAACACGUUGUCCAUCGGAUAGAAUGAUGGGGUGCCGGGGGGAGAGAUCCACCCGGAGCCCCUGCCCGCGCUGGCAACAGUGCGGUUCAACCAACCAAUCACGGCGUGGGAAGCGCCAAGGAACAUAAGAACGAACGGGCCCGUGCCCGACGCCCCGAGAAUAGGUGGCGGACGGGAGGCGGAGCUCGCUUCAUUAAGAAUCGAAACGACUCUCGGCAACGGAUAUCUCGGCUCUCGCAUCGAUGAAGAACGUAGCGAAAUGCGAUACUUGGUGUGAAUUGCAGAAUCCCGUGAACCAUCGAGUUUUUGAACGCAAGUUGCGCCCGAAGCCUUUCGGCCGAGGGCACGUCUAGCUGGGUGUCACGCAACGUCGCCCUCCUCUCAUCAAACCCGAUCCUGGGAGAUUGAGUAGGGGGCGGAACUUGGCCUCCUGUGAGAUGAAUCGCUCACGGCUGGCCUAAAACUUAGAGUCCUCGGCAAUGAUCGCCACGACCAACGGUGGUUGAGCAAGACCCUCGGGAGGAGUCGUGUGCGUGUGUCGGGCGACGGCGGGAAGCAAGAUUUUGCCCUGACAUAUUCGAUCGCGACCCCAGCUUAGGCGGGACUACCCGCUGAGUUUA
rnacentral:rRNA from 1 species